GUCCUGAUGGCGGAGUGGGUAACGAGGUGACCUGGAAAGGCAUUUCCCUUGCGGAGCACAGGUUUGAAUCCCUUGCAGGACG